CAGCAUAAUUACCAGUUAUGUAGAUAUUCUCAUCAGAUGAGUAGGUAGUCCCAGAAACUUGAUUGGUUGUAUGGAGGUGUGCGAGUAAUAGAGAAAAGUGAUGUUGGUUAGAAAGUCAGAGUAAAAUUCUAAGUGUCAAGGAACUGUGUUCCUUGAGUUGUGUCCAAGAGAGUUUGAGAGUUAGUUGUUAGAGUGUCCUGGAUCUCUCUGCAUGUCCAAAUCUGAUGUUUGUCUCUUUCUUUGUGGCAACUACUUUGAUCGUAAUUUGUAAAACUGACAGUUCUAAACUCAAUUUCACCCCUUACUUACAAUUGUAACAUUUAGAAAGUAAAAUUAAUUACUUAGUCUUCUCUGUCACUAGUGUCUGUGUUUAAAAUUACAUCUAUUCCAUUAACAUUUAAACAGAGCAUUCCACCCCCCUGCUUCAUUGCUUAUCACUUGGCUUGUUUAUAUAAUGCAUUCCUUAGCUCAGGCUCAGUGGUUAGUGAAAGCAAGGAAAUUAUGUGUCUUUGUUAUCCUGAAGAUAGCAAAAUGGAGUCCGCUCUGUUCUGAGUGACUCUGGCAAUAUACACUUUUAAUUUCUUUCUUAGCACAAAAUGUCUGCCGAUAUAAAUAUCCUGACAGAAUGCCCGCUUUGGACGAGCACCUUGCCUCCUUGCGGAAGAUGUGGGAUCAGGUCCAUGCUGCUCUCUCCCGUGCAGCUGCUACUCAGAAGAGAUUUGCUGAUCGUUAUAGGUGUGCGGCUCAUUUUUAUGCCCCGGGUGAUAGGGUUUGGUUGUCCUCUAAGAAUCUCCGCCUCAGGGUUCCCUCUAUGAAAUUUGCGCCCCGGUUCCUUGGCCCCUAUAAGGUAUUGCGUAGGGUGAAUCCCGUGUCCUACUCUCUGGCCUUGCCUCCUUCCAUGCGUAUACCUAACACUUUUCACACCUCCCUUUUGAAGCCCUUGCUCUGUAAUCGAUUCUCUGCUCCUCUCAGGCGUCCGGAUUCCCUCCGCGCAUUCUCCAGUGAUGUGUACAAAGUGGCUGCUCUGCUUGAUUCUCGUUUUUCUCGAGGUCGGUUGCAGUAUCUGGUGGAUUGGAAGGGUUACGGCCCUGAGGAGCGGUCUUGGGUUUCUGCCUCUGAUUUCAAUGCGCCCUCUUUGAUCCGCUCCUUUCAUGCACGGUUUCCUUUGAAGCGUUCGACUUCCCGCCUACCGGGCGGUCCUCGAGGGGGGGGGGGGGCGGUCUCCCCUUCCCCUACCUGUCGGCGAGCGGCAUCCUCUCUGCUCUGCGCGCCGCUCACGUCCUCCUCCUUGCCUCCCAGCGGCAGCAUGUGUAACGCUGCACGCUGGGAGUCCCCGCAUUUGUGUGAACGCCGGGGUCACUCACGUGACCCGGCGUUAAAGCCACAGUACCCUAAUCACAGUGGGAGGUAUAGAUAUCUCCCACGUGUGAUUAUUAAUUCUGAUUGGAAGUUAUCCAAUCAGAAUUAAGCACAGGACUUAUAUACUUACCUUUCCAGUCUCUCAGUGCCUUGUUGUGGUCUUGUGUUACCUGUAGUGCAGUUUGCUCGUGUUGCUCUCUGGUUACCGAUUAUUUGCCUCGUUAUUCCGAUUUUCCUGUAUUCUCCACUCCUUUGACCUCGGCUUGUUUCUCGUUCUCCUGUUUUCUGGCUUCCUUUACUUGGCUUGUCUCCUGACUAUUCUUAGUGUGCUUAACCCGGCCAUUCUAAAGGAUCGGUAUAACACCCUACCUUCCUGUGACCUGUUAGCGUGUUAGGUUCCCGGAUCGUGACAGGAUUGAGGAAAGUUACAUUUCUGUAGGACGCAUACCAUAUAGUUACAUAGCUGAAAAGAGA
rnacentral:lncRNA from 1 species